GGAGCCUUGGAGGCGAUGUGACACCACCUCGGCCAUUUCCCGGCCCUGGGACAGGUUCCCCUGUGCACCAGCAGAUGGCAGCGAAGUUCAACAAAUGGGUGGCAGUGACCGAGCCCCGGUGCUUUUCCUGCAGGCUUGUGUUGCUGCAGAGAGCUGAGAGCUCCGAGCAUAUUCACAGCCUGCAAGGUUCAUUUCCAGUGCACAGAUCACCCGUGGGAUGCCUUAGAGAAACAGUAGAACAUACAGUCUCUGCUAUCUUCCCUUUCUUAAAUCUGUAAUUAAAAUCUAUGUAUAUCUGCACAGAUGAGGAUGAAGCUCAAUUGCAAAAGGUAUUGCAUACUUUUCACGAUACAUAAGCUCCGACAAAAAGAAGAUGAAAUGAUGCUGCCAACAGUCUUUUGAAGGCCCAAAUGGGAACUCCAGUGAUAAUUAUGCUCUCAAAAGUGGUACCUCUUUAUGAAAAUGCUGUUCUACAAUAAAUAAAUAAAUAAAUAAAUAAAUAAAUA